UUGAAAACCUAAACUAAGCCUAACGGCAGAACCGAUUCAGUCAGAUCUCUGAAUCUGAGUCACAUCAAUCACCAACAACACCAGAUCUCUCGAUCUACCCGAAGAACACUGCUUCAGAUUCAAUUUAUCAUGUUAAUUCGAUGUGUUGGUAGGUAAUUGAAGAAGGUAAAGUGAUGUCAUACGAAAUUGUUUUUGAGUUUUUUAUGGAUCUGCAGCUGAAUUCGGUGCCUCGCGUAGCUUUCUUUUAUUUUGAUUUCUAACUACAGCCAUAGCAUCAAUUUUUAUUACUCUUCCUUGGCUGAAGGAAGUUUACUAUGCCCAAAAUGGCCUGUCUAUGUCUAUCUUUUUAGGUUACUAUUCUCUUUUAUACUUUUUAGUUUGGUUUAGUAUGUGAGGUUUAUUUGUUGUUAUAUAUGCUUUGUAAUGGACUUGUAUCUUCAUUCCGGAGAACUAUUUUAAAUAAUUGUAAUGGGACUAAAAACCUUCAAAGAAUGACACUAAAAACAUAACCUUUUAAUUGUCUAAUAAUACGAAAAAUUUUGUUUAAUGCUAAUAAUUUGUUAGACACGAUGCAGAGUUGAAGACAAAGGAAGGGAAAUUAUUUUAAGAAAAUAAAAUGAGAAAUUCCAACCAGUAUCUAACCUUUCUUCCUGACCCUCUUAACCUUAUCCAAUGCCCCCAUCAAACCCCAUCCAGCCAUCCGCACCAACGCCAUCAUUAACAUCAAAAUUGUAACGACUAUGGAGUGGCAAACGGUAGAAAGAUAGGGAAGAUAAGGGCGAUAUAGGAAAAAUGCAAAUAACAAUUGUGUACAAAAGAUGGAUAGAAAUGCAAACUACUUCGAAGCAAAAGAGAUGUACUUGAUCUUUAAAGCCAGCGGGGAGAUUGUGGAAGUAGUAAUUCCACCACUGAGGAAUAGAACUAUAGAAGUGGAAAGAAAUAUGGAUUCUAGAAGAAAGAAUGAUAAUGAUGACAAUAAGGCUAGAUUAACAUCUUCAUUCGGAGUAGGAAAAUACAUGCAAAUCUUUGGUGUCUUUUUUUUUAUAGAGAUGGACAGUAGUAUUUCAUAGUGAGGCAUAGUAAGAUAUCAAUGUUCUUUGAUGAUUUGAUGAUGGCUUCGUCAAUUUGUUUUGGCUCAAUUUGUGAAACAAAAGUCAUAUGAUUAUAUAGUCCUCAUGUUCUUAAAAUAGACUUUCUUUAAUUGA